rnacentral:rRNA from 1 species
GAUCAUGGCUCAAGAUGAACGCUAGCUACAGGCUUAACACAUGCAAGUCGAGGGGAAACGACAUCGAAAGCUUUGCUUUUGAUGGGCGUCGACCGGCGCACGGGUGAGUAACGCGGUAUCCAACCUGCCCAUCACUUGGGAAUAACCUUGCGAAAGUAAGACUAAUACCCAAUGAUAUCCCACGAAGGCAUCCGAAUGGGAUUAAAGAUUUAUCGGUGAUGGAUGGGGAUGCGUCUGAUUAG